UUUUCUGUGGUGUAAAAAACAUAUUAUAAUUUCAUUAUAAAGAUAUGCCGGAGGGU
rnacentral:tRNA from 1 species